CUUUGCAGACUCUGCUAAUAUGUUCCCCUCCUGAAGGAUACAGCCUCUAUGACUGCAGGCCCACAUCUUACUAAUCUACAGCCCUGGAAAUCCACAGAGGCUGCUGUCGCAGAGAAAUGCUCCUCUUUCCUCCAGGCAGCCCUGGGUGAGGACGCCUGUGUUGGGUAUCCUAAAACUGCUGCCUCUCUGGUGGAAGAGGAGCCUCCAACUAUGAAAUACUACAAACACCACAAGCAGGCCUCAAUUACGUGCUGAAUGCCUGGAAGUCCUAACCCAUGCCACAGGCCUGCCAGAGGGAAAUUUUAAAGUCCAGCAGGAUCUGGGAUGGGAUAUAGGCUGGCAAAGUAAUAAUCACACCCAUUUGACUGAGGAUGCCUUGAAAUGAAACAUGGCAGCUGUGGGAAAGAAGAAAGCAAAUGUUGAUGUGGAGACUGCCCCUCAUCACCUCCUUCCUCUGCCAAAAUGCAACAGCAAGGUGAUUUCUGGGAAUGUUCAUAGUGUAGGAGUUCUCCGACAGCAGUAAACAAGUUACCUGCACAGAGGUGGCUGCAAAAGCAAACUGAAGUAGGAGUUGAUGAGGGAAAAUCGGAAGGCACAGUUAUCGUCAGUCAGCGAGCCGUGGUCAAGUUCAACAAAAGAUUUAAACAGAGCUCCUUUUGCUUCAGAUGAAAUUCUCAUCUGCACUAUGAUGACUCACAGGCUGCAAACCAAGAAAAAAAGGAGAAGAAAUAAUCACCAGGGAAGGGUAACACUUAAGCAAACAAACAAAGAAAUGGAAGUGCUGCAGCUCUAUGAGGCUGAAAGAAUGAGUGUAUAUCCUGUGAUGCUCUUGGCUAUGUGACAGUGGUUUCCUUCUGUGUUUCUGUCUCAGUAAAAUUAGAGGCGUAUGUUUGGAGCUUGGGGGAUGUGAGCUCAGCUUCUGAUUCUGCACAGCCUCCUGUGAGGCACGGGACAAAUUCUUAGAUCUCUCUGGAUCUCACCUGUAAAACAGUAAUAACAUUCCUUGUCUAUUUAAAUUACUGGUCCUUCCUAUGGGUUUCUACUGGGCCUAGAGGAGCAGAGCCCUCAUCUAUCAUCACGCUCUCUAGCUGCCGCUGUGCUAUGAAUAAUAGUGUUUAUUAAUCAUAAUAAACACGUCAGCACUGUCAGAGAGUGUACACAGAGCAAAUAGAACAGUGUCUGACAACCACAUCCUGCCAGGUAAGUCGGGAGGUGGAAAAUGAGAAUUCUGCUGCAGAUCAUAUAAAAUCCAGAGAUUGGCCCGACUCUUCCUGUGGGCAAUAUUGGAGGAAAAAAAGAAAAGGUCAAUUUUAUUCUAAAAAAUAGGACAGUAAUAGCCUAUGUGGUGUGUCCCUCGCUAAUGUGCCAAGACAGCUCCUGACAUUUACAGACUGAAAUAGCGAGGGAAUCUAGAUAGCGUGCAUCCAGUUCAAAAUGAAUAUAAUAGGAACAGCAAGCCCUAAUUUUAAUGUAUAAACUGAAAUCAGCUAAAUUUACCGGUUAAGUCUUCCCCAAGUUGCUCUCCUCUUCUGCCUCCAUCACCCAGGCCACCAUUUUGGUUGAGAUGUGACAAUGAGCAGGAUGUAGGUCUUCCAAGCUGCUGGCCUCAGUUACCAGCCCCUUCACCUGGCCCAUGUCCUGCGUGUGGAUCACCCUACUGAGAGAGAGGUGGAAAGCAGCCCACCUCGGGGAGCCUCAUGCUUUGAACGUGCAAUGAGCUGGCACGCAGUGGUAAGACACAACUCAAAGUGGGUCCAGUUGCCUCAAAUAAGCCAUUGUUUUCCAGAGUGGUGUACAAAAUGGAGGUCAUUCCAAAAGCAACCUGUGGGAGGAUCUACUCUUGUCCACAUGAAAUCAUAACUGCAGCACAGAGCAGGGAGAGGACGGUGAUGAGGUUAUGCUCCUGUUGCUGCUGACAGACAACAGCCACAACAAAAAAGGCACAGUUACUUAACACAAUCCCUGAUGGUGAGCAGACGCUGGCAUUUCAAGCCAUAGCUGAGCUGGACCUUAUUCACCUCCUGGCACGAGCACUUCUUUCAGGGGGAAAAUGUUUAUUUCAGGCACGGGAACAGCCAGGUGGAGAAACAAAGACUUACCCUAAGCCACCAUUUCAAAUCCACGGUGGAGACAGCAACAAAUGUCAGGGGACUGCCAGUCCCUCGUUCCAACCACAAGGCAAUUCCUGUUUCCCAGUGACUUCAAUAGCUGGCCAAGACCAAGCACUGUGGCACUACA
ensembl:lncRNA